GAGUUUGAUCAUGGCUCAGAACGUACGCUGGCGGCACGCCUAACACAUGCAAGUCGAACGAAGUAGCAAUACUUAGUGGCAGACGGGUGAGUAACAUGUAGGUAUCUGCCCUUUGGCCUGGAAUAACACGAGGAAACUUGUGCUAAUACCGGAUAAGUCUUUACGGAGAAAGCUUUAUGCACCAUUGGAUGAGCCUGCACUUGAUUAGUUUGUUGGUAGGGUAAUGGCCUACCAAGACUGUGAUCAAUAGCUGAUUUGAGAGGAUGAUCAGCCACAUUGGGACUGAGACACGGCCCAAACUCCUACGGGAGGCAGCAGUGGGGAAUCUUGCACAAUGGAGGAAACUCUGAUGCAGCGAUGCCGCGUGAGUGAAGAAGGCCCUUGGGUUGUAAAGCUCUUUCGUCGGGGAAGAAAAUGACUGUACCCGAAUAAGAAGGUCCGGCUAACUUCGUGCCAGCAGCCGCGGUAAUACGAAGGGACCUAGCGUAGUUCGGAAUUACUGGGCUUAAAGAGUUCGUAGGUGGUUGAAAAAGUUAGUGGUGAAAUCCCAGAGCUUAACUCUGGAACUGCCAUUAAAACUUUUCAGCUAGAGUAUGAUAGAGGAAAGCAGAAUUUCUAGUGUAGAGGUGAAAUUCGUAGAUAUUAGAAAGAAUACCAAUUGCGAAGGCAGCUUUCUGGAUCAUUACUGACACUGAGGAACGAAAGCAUGGGUAGCGAAGAGGAUUAGAUACCCUCGUAGUCCAUGCCGUAAACGAUGUGUGUUAGACGUUGGAAAUUUAUUUUCAGUGUCGCAGGGAAACCGAUAAACACACCGCCUGGGGAGUACGACCGCAAGGUUAAAACUCAAAUGAACUGACGGGGACCCGCACAAGUAGUGGAGCAUGUGGUUUAAUUCGAAGAUACGCGCAGAACCUUACCAACACUUGACAUGUUCGUCGCGACUCUAAGAGAUUAGAGUUUUCGGUUCGGCCGGACGAAACACAGGUGCUGCAUGGCUGUCGUCAGCUCGUGUCGUGAGAUGUUGGGUUAAGUCCCGCAACGAGCGCAACCCUCACUUUUAGUUGCCAUCAUUAAGUUGGGCACUCUGAAAGAACUGCCAGUGAUAAGCUGGAGGAAGGUGGGGAUGACGUCAAGUCCUCAUGGCCCUUAUGUGUUGGGCUACACACGUGCUACAAUGGUAUCUACAACAGGAAGCAAGACUGCGAAGUUAAGCAAAUCCCUAAAAGAUACCUCAGUUCGGAUUGCACUCUGCAACUCGAGUGCAUGAAGCUGGAAUUACUAGUAAUCGUGGAUCAGCGUGCCACGGUGAAUGCGUUCCCGGGUCUUGUACACACCGCCCGUCACACCAUGGGAGUUGGUUCUACCUUAAGGCAAGGUUUCAAACCCUUGACCACGGUAUAGUCAGCGACUGGGGUGAAGUCGUAACAAGGUAACC
rnacentral:rRNA from 1 species